AGAAGUUUCUCGGAGGGAAAAUGUAAAAGCGGAUUAUUAAAGAGAAGUCCUGACUGCUUUUUCACCGUAUUUUUCACUCUUUUACAGGCUUCCAGAAAUAAUCCGGUGAAAUAAUAUGGUGAGCUAUUGUUGCUGUUGCUUCUGAACUACAAAAUGAUUUUUAAAUGUAUUAUUGAAUGAGACUGUACAUUAUAAAUGUAAUGCUUUAACUCUAGAUGUUUGUUUGUGUGAAUGCUGUGUGUGCGGUGAGUCCUGCGCGAGCGGGGAGCAGAGUUGCCAUGGAAACGGGGCGUCAACACAAAAACCGUUACUGGCAAACAGUAAUCUCCGUCUCUCGCUGCGGUUUACACUGUUUUAGAAACGGUUUAGUGUCUUCGGAAAAGUCCGUUAUCAUUUUAGCAGUUUUCAGGUAGGCUAACUCUAUAGAUUGAGCUCUUGUUGAUGAAACUCUGGGCUUUUAAUCAAAUCUUCGUGUGUGUAUGAGAUAUUUUGAUGGCUCUGUGAAUGUUUUGCUGGUGAUUUGUCAGUAUGUUAUUGGAAAAGGCUGAUUUACUGAAUCGAUGACGUCACUUACAGUGAGAGUGUAAUCGGCUGAAAUCAAGUUCACAUUAGUUUUGAUAUUUCAUGAUAAACAGAUAUUAAUACAAAUUGUUCUGUGAUUACAGGAGGACAGAAAGAAACUCUACAGAACAGAAGUGAAGCUCCAAGAUUUCAACAUUUAUGAAGGGAGAUACUGACUUAGAAAUACAGGUGAACUGAAGAAGCUCAUGAAAUACAUGAAUAUGCCUUUUUCAGAAUACAUUUCACCAAUUUUAAGAAGUCCCUGACAUCAUGACCUUGUUUCCUUCUAAUGAACCUGGAACUGCAGAGUAAAUAUUGUUGACUCUGUGUCAGAUUGCUUGUUUUGUUCCUGGACUCUUCAGUGAUGACGAUCAGAGUCUGAGUGAACCUGCUGUCAGACAGGUUGGCCUGAUUGACGAUGCCAUCGUCCAUCGCCGAUGGCUGAUAGACAUCACGAUGCUGCGCCGGAAACAGCGUCAUCAGCUCCAGUAUCUCGCGCGUGCAUCUGUUGUCAUGCGACAGAGAAGUCACGUUCUAUAGAGAGUUUCUACAGACAGUUGUGAACGUGCUGACAGCUGGUUGCCCAGGCUAUGGAUUAAAGGGCCAGCAGAGCCCUGCUCACCCUGACGGCCCACCGCUGCUGUCAGACAACAUCUCAAAGAUGCUAUAAACUGCAGGACUAGAUCGCCAUCCCAAGGUUUCUAGAGAUUACACCAGAUCCAGACUGAAUCCAAACUCACUUUUGAAGACUUCAGAUGACACCAACGCUCACAAAGACUACAGACGACAACUGUACAUGAACACACAAAACAUUGGACACACAAAACAAUUAUUAUCCUUAUUUUGCCUAUAAGGGUAAAUUUGAUGAUUUUCAAACUGCUUUAUUGUAACGUCUCUUAUAUCUGUAAAUGAACAAUAUUUACUCUCUGAGUUAUGUGGACCUACAUGUCCCCUUUUAUUUGUAAGCAUCACUUUAAAAAUGUUGAAAGAUAAUGUUAAUGUUAACUGAAUACAAAACUAGACUUGUUUAGUAAGAUUUUAUCAGAAAAUAUUUUUGAACUUUUAUCAUGCAAUUUAAAACAUUUUAAUUGCUUAAUUAGGAAACACUUUAGAAUAAGGUUCCAUUAGUUAAUGUUAGUUAAUGUAUUAAUUAACAUGAACAAACAAUGAAUAAUACAUUUAUUACUGUAUUUAUUCAUCUUCGUUAAUGUUAGUUAAUGAAAAUACAGUUAUUCAUUGUUAGUUCAUGGUAAUUCACAGUGCAUUAACUAAUGCUAACAAGCACAACUUUUGAUUUAAAUAAUGCAUUAGUAAAUGUUGAAAUUAACAUGAACUAAGACUUAUAAAUGUUGUAGAAGGAUUGUUCUUGCUUAGUUCAUGUUAACGAAAGUAGUUAACUAACAUUAACUAAUGGAACCUUAUUCUAAAGUGUUACCCUUAAUUAUUGUUUACCUGGUUUUAUUUUGUGUUUAUGUAACUUUUUAAAAAGUUCUUGGCAUAAAGUUUGCAUGCGAUGCUGACAGCACUGAACACAUGACUUUUUAUUAUGAACUAGAUGGUCUUCCCAGUGAGUCUCAGUCAUCUCUGGCUUUUUAAACUGUAACCUUGAAACAUGCAUUUCCUGUAAACCUACUUUGAAAUAAGUAUUGUCAAAAGGUGCUAUACUCAUACAACAUUUAACCAUGCAAGUACUGUAGUAAUGGUUAUUUUUGUUUUUACUAUGGUUUUACUGCAAAAGCUGUAGUAAAAUCAUGGUUAAUGUUCAAAAGACUACAAAUAAUCCCGAAUUAUCCACUUUUGAUCAAAGCAUCUGGUAAAUGUUAUUGUAUUUGUACAUGUAAUAUGAAAUAAAUGAAAAUAUUAAUAAAGUUGCGUCUGUUCUUGA